rnacentral:rRNA from 1 species
UACGAAGGGUGCAAGCGUUAAUCGGAAUUACUGGGCGUAAAGCGCGCGUAGGUGGUUCGUUAAGUUGGAUGUGAAAGCCCCGGGCUCAACCUGGGAACUGCAUCCAAAACUGGCGAGCUAGAGUAUGGCAGAGGGUGGUGGAAGUUCCUGUGUAGCGGUGACAUGCGUAGCUCUAGGAAGGAAACACAGUGGCGAAGGCGACCACCUGUGCUAAUACUGACACUGAGGUGCGAAAUCGUGGGGAGCAAACAGGAUUAGAUACCCCCGUAGUCC